ensembl:lncRNA
GUUUGUUCCAUUCCUCGGAGCUCUGGGGCUCUGCUGAGGGUCUCCGAACUGGGUGGGCAGGGCUCCAGGCAUCCACGCCCACUCCUGCCCUUCAGAUGUUUUGACUGAUUGAACGAACAUCCAGGUCAGAUUUUAUUUAAAGAAAAUGUAUUUUCAGUGGACAUUUGCAGAGGGCUGACCUGGAGUCAGGGAGGCCUGGGAAGUGCUGGGCCCUGGAGACUGUGGGGUCGGAGGCUCAAAGUCCCGGGUCCUGUGUAGCCUUGAGCAGAGCGGCUAGCCUUUCUGGGCCUCAUCUGUCCUUCUGGGAAGUGGAGUCACAGCUGCCCGACAGGAGCUGAGUGCAGGGCUGGGGGACUGUGGUGCUUGGAGGUGCAGAGGUUUCAGACUUCCCCUGCCCUGGGGCACCUGCUGCUUGGUCGAGCCAGCCUUCCACGGGUUGGAGAGCUUGCCUGUAGCACCUGGCAUCCCUUGUCUAGCACACGCCCAUCACCAAGGUGUGCCCUCACUGAGAGCAGGAGUGGCAGGGGCUCAGUACUGUCGGCCCCAAGCUGUGACUCUGGCGCUAACCCACAGGGGGCGAUCCAGCUCAGAGCAUCCUGCCGUGGGGGGCUUGCUCCCAGCAUCCUGGAGGAAACACUGAGCAGGUGGCACCUCCAGAACCUCCGUUAAGGGCGCCUCACCUCACCAUGGUGGUCCCAGGGUGGGGGAACCCAUGAGGACCUCAGUUGCCAGCCUUAUUGGGGCCCCAGGACACAGCAGACCCAUAGGGGCCCUCCGGGAGGAUGUCCUGGCUUCCCUGGACAUAAAGCUGUCCCAGGACCUACGCCUCAUUGAGGGGCCUCAAGGCCGAGGCCCUGGGCCUGGCCUCUCCUCCCCGCCACAGUGGAGCCCCUGCAGGCCUGACCAUCAGACCCCGGGGCCCACCAUCUCCCAGUUUUCAUUCUAGCAACAAGACAGCCCAGGAGUUUGGGGGUGGGGCAGGGAUGUGUCCCAGUUGGCUGUCCUCGCCAUGGGGCUCUUCUCCAUCCCUCGGGGCGGGAGGGGGCUGUUGGAGUGAGAGGGAAGGAGUCCUGCCCUCCCCUUUGCAAGGAGCCAGAGCUUCACUUGGGAGGCCUGCGAUGUUUAUGCAGUUCCAGGGCCACACUGGGCCAGGGCAGGGAACUGAGGACGGGAGUGGGAGGGGCUUUAGGAAAACCAGACCUACCACCUUCCCUCUGGCCCUCCCAAGAGAUGCAGCUCUCCCUAGUGAGAUGCUCUGGGAGUAGGGAGAGGGACAUGGAGGGGAGGAGAGCUGGCUUCAUGUGUGAGCUUCAUGAAAGCCAGACGGAGAUGGAGAGUCUUGGAGGUCCUCUCCGCCAGGAUUCCAGAUCUUUCCAGAGUGAUCUCAGGGCUUUGCAAAGCAGAAACCAGGCCCAGAUGGAAGCCCACAGGGAGACCUCACCCAGGGCUGUCGGCUCUUCAGAAAUGUCCCUUCCUGUGGCUGCAAGACUGUGGGUGAAUCCUGGGGUCCGGGCUUGGCUGCUGUGAGCCGCUGCCUCCCGGCUGAUAAACAUCGGCCCAGGGAGCUGAGACACCGAGGCCCUGGAGAAGACCAGUGCAGGACCACCAGCAGGGCUGCAGCAGGUGCAGGGCUGGUUGGUGAAGAGGCUCACCCUCUCCUCCGUCCUCAGCCCCAACGCUCCCCAAACCUGUGCAUUAGAGCUGUGCUGGAGUUCUUCACGUCUCUACCAGGCCAGGUGGUCACUGCUAAACUCGCCUUGGAGAGAGGAAGCCUGGAUUAUCUGUCAGGUCCAGGGGGACGAUGCUCCAUUGGGCCCCCAGCUUCAUGGGGCUGCUACCUUGGUCUGGAGACCCUCCGUGUGUGAGGAGUUUGCACCCUUCAGAGUUUCAGCUGGAAAGUGGAUCUAUCGUCUUGGUGCUUCAGAGGAAACUUCUACAAUAUUCAGAUGGACGGGGCUCUCAGCCCCUCGACCACAAGGCUGUUCCAGCCUGAGCAGGUCAGUUCUGGGCAGUCUGGGAGCGGGAGGAGGGGUCCGCAGAACUCUUCCUGUCCCCGCUUUCUGCCUUCGCUUCUCAGGGGUACCCUGCCCUGGAAUGAAUGAGCUCCGCAAAUACUCAUCUCUGGGCAGCUGCCAAGUCUGGCCCCACUCCAGAGGACCGAGUGCUUGCAUCUGUCCCACUUCCCUUGGCAUGAAGGCCCCUGGCUGUCAGGGUGGGGCAGAGCUCCAGAGCCAGCCUUGGUGCUGGGACCCGGCCGAGCGAGGAGCUGCGGUGCCCAGGCCACAUGGCGUUCCCUGGUGAGGAGACGAUGUGAUGGCCACCAACACCCUUGGAACCCGUGUCGGCCCCAGUGCGAGUCAAGUGGACCCCUGCUGUCCUCCCGAGAAGUGUGACCAUUUAGUCUGAGGGGAGGGACAGUGGCAUCCUGAACCCCCACAGUGGCUGAGAAGGCUUCCAGCUGCCCAGCUGCCCUCUCUGCCCAGGAGGAGACGCUAUGCCAAGGCCCAGCUGUGGGAGAGUCUGCGUUUCCCGUGCCAUCCACUUGGAAAGGGCCUUCGUGCAGUCAGGGACUGGUGUGAUGGGGAGAAGGAGCCCAGUUUUCUUCUUGGGCGUUCCAGCCAAAUCAGGCUUGUUGAAGCCCUUCCCUGACUGCCAAGAGGGAGACCACUGCCUCCAGCCGGGAGUGCAGGAUGCCCAUUCUCACGUGGAUUCUCGUCCAUUGGAAUCUGGAGACAGGCCUGGACUUGGAGCCUUCUGCUCGUUGUCUGACCACAGGCAAGCCACUCCACCUCUCUGAGCUUUGGUCUUCUCGUUUGCACAAUAGGCAACUGGAAGUGAAAGUAUGGUGAGUAGUUUCUAGACACCGGGCACUGCGUCAGGGGCUCUCGCACUUGUGUUCGUCAUAAGCUCCGUGGCUGCCACAUAGGUGGUGACUAUGCCGGGGACCACUGUCUGGCCCCAGAGGUGACUUAUUCUCUUUAUUCUGCUGCGAAACCCUCAGCCCCUCAACUGCAGAGAUUGCUCCUUCCAUUCUUGGCGCUCAGCCCUGUGACUCCCACAUGGAAGGUUCUUGACUAGAUGUUGCAUGGAUGCAUACUAAGUGGGAGGGAGCUCACUUCUGGCUUUCACACAUCAAAUUAAAUUUUCAUGAACUCAUGAAUCAACAAGAGAAACUAAGCAGCAUUUUACUGAACACCUACUAUGUCUGAUGAUUUACAUGGGUUUUCUUAUUUAGUCUUCACAGUAAUCCUGUGAAGUACUCUCUCUUCCGUUUUGCAAGUUAGGAAAUUGUGGAAGCUCACGCCUUGUCAAGAUUAGUCAACAUGUAAGAGGGAGGAGCAGGAUUUGAAUUGGAGUCUGAUCCCUCGGACUGUGCUCUUUGCAUUCCACCAGGCUGCCAACAGGGAGACGCCUGCUAGACCGUGGUUGUUACAAAGCAGAAUCGUGGUCUAGCAGGGGGAAUAAUGCAUCCCAACCAGCGUCAGAAGGAGGCGCCAGCAGAAGGCCCGCUGCUCCCACGGGCUAAGGGGAUGAAUGACGGAGGCCAGGACCUUCCCAGGGCGUGCCUGCAGGCUUCUCCACCUAGACUGUCGUGGCCCAACCUCAGGCCAGCCCAGGCAACAGCGAGGCAAGGCCCGGCCUGGGUCUGCCGCCUCUCAGCCCAUUGGCCCUGUGGAUGCUGCGUUGCAAAACCACACUGUUUUGUUCUGACUUCCUCUUGGGUUCCCAGGAAGUUUAUUUACAGAAGUAAAAUUGCCUCGUAACGUAAAAAAAUAUUUUUUUUGCUGUGGUAAAAUAUACACAACACAAAAUUUACCAUUUUAACCACUUAAUGUAAAAAUGUACAACUGCAUGGUGUUAGUUCACAAUGUGCACAUUCCAGAUGUUGCAUAGCCAUCACCGCCAUUUGUCCCCAGAACUCCCUAACGGAAGCUCUGUACCUAUUAAACACUAAUUCCCCCCCUCCCUCUAGACUCUGCUGAUCUCUUGUCCGUGUUUUGUCUCUAUGAAUUUGCCUACUCUAGGUAUGUGUGUAAG